UUAAGAUAAACUGUGAGCCUAGGGAUGUAACUCAGUGGUAGAUUGCCUACUUAGUGUGUGCAAGUCCACUACUAUGGAAGGGAAGG
rnacentral:miRNA from 1 species